rnacentral:rRNA from 1 species
GAUCAUGGCUCAGGACGAACGCUGGCGGCGUGCUUAACACAUGCAAGUCGAACGAGAAUCACUGGAAGGAGUUUUCGGACAACGGAAGGUGAGGACAGUGGCGGACGGGUGAGUAACGCGUGAGGAACCUGCCUUUCAGAGGGGGGACAACAGUUGGAAACGACUGCUAAUACCGCAUGACACAUAGAGAUCGCAUGGUUUUUAUGUCAAAGAUUUAUCGCUGAAAGAUGGCCUCGCGU